rnacentral:rRNA from 1 species
AGUGAACGCUGGCGGUAGGCCUAACACAUGCAAGUCGAACGGCAGCACAGUAAGAGCUUGCUCUUACGGGUGGCGAGUGGCGGACGGGUGAGGAAUACAUCGGAAUCUACUUUUUCGUGGGGGAUAACGUAGGGAAACUUACGCUAAUACCGCAUACGACCUACGGGUGAAAGCAGGGGAUCUUCGGACCUUGCGCGAUUGAAUGAGCCGAUGUCGGAUUAGCUAGUUGGCGGGGUAAGGGCCCACCAAGGCGACGUUCCGUAGCUGGUCUGAGAGGAUGAUCAGCCACACUGGAACUGAGACACGGUCCAGACUCCUACGGGAGGCAGCAGUGGGGAAUAUUGGACAAUGGGCGCAAGCCUGAUCCAGCCAUACCGCGUGGGUGAAGAAGGCCUUCGGGUUGUAAAGCCCUUUUGUUGGGAAAGAAAAGCAGCAGGUUAAUACCCCGCUGUUCUGACGGUACCCAAAGAAUAAGCACCGGCUAACUUCGUG